rnacentral:rRNA from 1 species
GGGUGCGUAACGCGUGGGAAUCUGCCCUUGGGUUCGGAAUAACAGUUGGAAACGACUGCUAAUACCGGAUGAUGACGUAAGUCCAAAGAUUUAUCGCCCAGGGAUGAGCCCGCGUAGGAUUAGCUAGUUGGUGGGGUAAAGGCCUACCAAGGCGACGAUCCUUAGCUGGUCUGAGAGGAUGAUCAGCCACACUGGGACUGAGACACGGCCCAGACUCCUACGGGAGGCAGCAGUGGGGAAUAUUGGACAAUGGGCGAAAGCCUGAUCCAGCAAUGCCGCGUGAGUGAUGAAGGCCUUAGGGUUGUAAAGCUCUUUUACCCGGGAUGAUAAUGACAGUACCGGGAGAAUAAGCCCCGGCUAACUCCGUGCCAGCAGCCGCGGUAAUACGGAGGGGGCUAGCGUUGUUCGGAAUUACUGGGCGUAAAGCGCACGUAGGCGGCUUUGUAAGU